rnacentral:rRNA from 1 species
GUGAGGAAUAUUGGUCAAUGGACGAGAGUCUGAACCAGCCAAGUAGCGUGAAGGACGACUGCCCUAUGGGUUGUAAACUUCUUUUAUAUGGGAAUAAAAAAGUCCACGUGUGGAUUCUUGUAUGUACCAUAUGAAUAAGCAUCGGCUAAUUCCGUGCCAGCAGCCGCGGUAAUACGGAAGAUGCGAGCGUUAUCCGGAUUUAUUGGGUUUAAAGGGAGCGUAGGCCGGCGGUUAAGUCAGCGGUCAAAUUGGGUGGCUCAACCAUCCCCCGCCGUUGAUACUGGCCGCCUUGAGUGUAUUCAAGGCAGAUGGAAUUCGUGGUGUAGCGGUGAAAUGCUUAGAUAUCACGAAGAACUCCGAUUGCGAAGGCAGUCUGCUGGGUUACAACUGACGCUGAGGCUCGAAAGUGCGGGUAUCAAACAGGAUUAGAAACCCGAGUAGUCC